GCCGGCUUAGCUCAGAGGUAGAGCAGCGCUUUUGUAAAGCGAAGGUCAUCGGUUCAAAUCCGUUAGCCGGCU
rnacentral:tRNA from 1 species